rnacentral:rRNA from 1 species
UACACUCCUACGGGAGGCAGCAGUGGGGAAUAUUGCACAAUGGGCGCAAGCCUGAUGCAGCCAUGCCGCGUGUAUGAAGAAGGCCUUCGGGUUGUAAAGUACUUUCAGCGGGGAGGAAGGCGAUAAGGUUAAUAACCUUGUUGAUUGACGUUACCCGCAGAAGAAGCACCGGCUAACUCCGUGCCAGCAGCCGCGGUAAUACGGAGGGUGCAAGCGUUAAUCGGAAUUACUGGGCGUAAAGCGCACGCAGGCGGUCUGUCAAGUCGGAUGUGAAAUCCCCGGGCUCAACCUGGGAACUGCAUUCGAAACUGGCAGGCUAGAGUCUUGUAGAGGGGGGUAGAAUUCCAGGUGUAGCGGUGAAAUGCGUAGAGAUCUGGAGGAAUACCGGUGGCGAAGGCGGCCCCCUGGACAAAGACUGACGCUCAGGUGCGAAAGCGUGGGGAGCAAACAGGAUUAGAAACCCUGGUAGUCCCAUG